rnacentral:rRNA from 1 species
GACAGAAAGAGCAAGCGUUAUUUUUCUUAAACGGGUGUAAAAUGUGUGUAGGCAACAAUAAACUUUUUUAGAAAAUUUUUGUUCUAUAAAAAGUUCAGAUUUAAGUUUAUUAUGAUUAAUUUUAUAUAAAUUUUAACAAUUUUUUUGAUCAAAAGUAAAAUUUGUUCGAGAUUGAAAGGAAUGCCGAUUGUGAAAACAAAAUUUUAGGUAAAAUUAUAGCUGAGACACGAAAACUUGGGGAGCAAAAAGG